AAUAUUCUUAAACCAAUUAAAACAAAGGAGAAAAGAGAAAAUUCAUAAAAAUAAGAAAAUCAGUGAAAUAAAAUAUGGAAAAAUAAAAAUCAAAUGAAGAAGAAUAAAAGAGAAUUUUAGAAAUUAUUUUGGAAUUUUUUGGAUGAAAAAUGAAAUUACUAUGAAUUUUCAAAUAAAAAGCAAUUAAAAAUAAUAAAAGAAAAAU
rnacentral:lncRNA from 1 species